rnacentral:rRNA from 1 species
GAUGAACGCUGGCGGCGUGCCUAAUACAUGCAAGUCGAGCGAACGGACGAGAAGCUUGCUUCUCUGAUGUUAGCGGCGGACGGGUGAGUAACACGUGGAUAACCUACCUAUAAGACUGGGAUAACUUCGGGAAACCGGAGCUAAUACCGGAUGAUAUUUUGAACCGCAUGGUUCAAAAGUGAAAGACGGUCUUGCUGUCACUUAUAGAUGGAUCCGCGCUGCAUUAGCUAGUUGGUAAGGUAACGGCUUACCAAGGCAACGAUGCAUAGCCGACCUGAGAGGGUGAUCGGCCACACUGGAACUGAGACACGGUCCAGACUCCUACGGGAGGCAGCAGUAGGGAAUCUUCCGCAAAGGGCGAAAGCCUGACGGAGCAACGCCGCGUGAGUGAUGAAGGUCUUCGGAUCGUAAAACUCUGUUAUUAGGGAAGAACAUAUGUGUAAGUAACUGCGCACAUCUUGACGGUACCUAAUCAGAAAGCCACGGCUAACUACGUG